rnacentral:rRNA from 1 species
AAUUUUGGACAAUGGGGGAAACCCUGAUCCAGCCAUCCCGCGUGUAUGAUGAAGGCCUUCGGGUUGUAAAUUACUUUUGGCAGGGAGGAAAAGGUAUCCCCUAAUCCGGGAUCCUCCUGCCGUUUUCUGCAGAAUAAGCCCCGCCUAACUACUUCCCACCAGCCGCGGUAAUCCGAAGGGUGCAAGCGUUAAUCGGAAUUACUGGGCGUAAAGCGUGUGUAGGCGGUUCGGAAAGAAAGAUGUGAAAUCCCAGGGCUCAACCUUGGAACUGCAUUUUUAACUGCCGAGCUAGAGUAUGUCAGAGGGGGGUAGAAUUCCACGUGUAGCAGUGAAAUGCGUAGAUAUGUGGAGGAAUACCGAUGGCGAAGGCAGCCCCCUGGGAUAAUACUGACGCUCAGACACGAAAGCGUGGGGAGCAAACAGG